GUUUCAGUAGUUUAUAAAAACAUUGGUCUUGUAAACCAAAGUAGAGUAAUAUACUCCUUGAACU
rnacentral:tRNA from 1 species